rnacentral:rRNA from 1 species
GACGAACGCUGGCGGCGUGCUUAACACAUGCAAGUCGAACGAAGAGCGAUGGAAGCUUGCUUCUAUCAAUCUUAGUGGCGAACGGGUGAGUAACGCGUAAUCAACCUGCCCUUCAGAGGGGGACAACAGUUGGAAACGACUGCUAAUACCGCAUACGAUCUAAUCUCGGCAUCGAGGAUAGAUGAAAGGUGGCCUCUACAUGUAAGCUAUCACUGAAGGAGGGGAGUGCGUCUGAUUAGCUAGGUGGAGGGGUAACGGCCCACCAAGGCGAUGAUCAGUAGCCGGUCUGAGAGGAUGAACGGCCACAUUGGGACUGAGACACGGCCCAGACUCCUACGGGAGGCAGCAGUGGGGAAUCUUCCGCAAUGGACGAAAGUCUGACGGAGCAACGCCGCGUGAGUGAUGACGGCCUUCGGGUUGUAAAGCUCUGUUAAUCGGGACGAAAGGCCUUCUUGCGAACAGUUAGAAGGAUUGACGGUACCGGAAUAGAAAGCCACGGCUAACUACGUG